ACACAGAUCUAUAAUUCAGCUGGAAAAGGAUUUCACUGCCAUGUCUGACUAUCAGGAAUUUAUCUUUCCUAAAUUGCAUUAUCUUGAUCAUGUUCACACUGACCUGCAUUCUUCACAGAAUAGGAGAGGGACAAAUGGAUAUUUAAAAAGGAAAUUCCAUCCAGAAAUAAUAGCCUACCAAAAGCAGAACGGUUCUCAGAUAAAAAUAUGCCCAUCAAUCCUGUUUUAGUUCAAAUACCUUGACUAGCAAUACUUGGAACAAAGCAGCCUGCCAGAAAAUGCCAACAAACAGUUAACUCUGCUUUAUUCUAUACAGCACACUUUCAGUGUUACUAGAUUAAAAUGUGCCUAGCCUGACAAUGAAACAGGAGAUCCACUGGAUAUUGUUAUGCAACCCACUGUCUGCAAGGGUGACUUGUAGCUUGUUCUCUAUUCAGCAAGUGCCAACUGCAUGUUUAAUCAAUGUCACCACUCACUACGGUAUACAACUGAAGCCACUGUCAUUCCACUCCUCAGAUUUGACUGGCUGCUAAGUUAUGCAAUGCUCUGAAGAAUGCCUUGGAAUUAUUUGUUGAUGCUUUGAAUGCAGGUGUGCAACAGUCCUAACCCUAGAGUAAACAGAGAACUUUGUUCCUUCUGGACUAAAAAUGUAAACAGACUAAUUUAAUACCACAUUUGGAUUUACAGCUCAGCAAUAUAAGAGAAGCAUCUUGAGAGAGUUAGCAAGAUCUGAGAGUAUGCUGAACGAUCAUGGCACUGGAAUGUCUUGGGGACCAGCUACGUAUUUAGGACGAGAAGUGGGAGAUUUUAUCUGGAAGCCACAAUGAUGUAUUUCCUCUUUGCACAGAAAGUGUCUCAUCCUAUGGAAGAAUCCAGAAUUUAAAAAGGAUAAAAAAAAAUAAGCAACCUGGAUAUGCAAAACAGAGGUUUCUUUUCUAACAACACAUCACUUCACUGGAUAAGCACAAUACGGCCUGCAUUUCUGGGAAGAUUUUGUAACAUUAUUGCCUCCAAUGUGUCAAGGAACUGUUCAUGCAUGCAUACAAUUUUGGCUCUGAGUGAAAAGAACAGUCCUCCAUGAAGAUAAGGCUGUUUCUCCACUGCAGUGAGGAGUAAGCAGCAUGUCUGAUGAGAUUUUAUUUCUGAUGCAGUGUAGGCCAGCAGUCAGAAUACUGGUGAAGAUUUUUGCAGAAAAAAUGAGGAGCUCUGCCAUCACAACCUUAGAAGAUGUAAAAAGGCAAGAAGAGAGCGAGGAGAAAGAGGAAUCUAUUUUAGCUCUGCUGGGGAUAAUUGGAACAGUGCUUAAUCUAUUUGUAAUCAUUUUUGUGUACAUCUACACAACACUUUGACGGUUUUCUAGCAACUCUGAAGACCAACAAUGACACACAGAAUUGGUGACCACCACCUAAUGGGAAACAAUACUACAGAAGGUCAAACACAUUCCAGAGAGAAGUGCCUAGUUAGGGGCUCAGUGCCAGGAACUGUAACAUAUAUCUGUAAACCCAGUUAAGGCUAUUUAAUUAUGUAAAUGAAGACAGAUAAUUAGUCAGCUGAUAAGGUCAAACACUGAAAAAUGCAUAUGGUGUUCUUCUGCCAAUGAAGAUGCAAGACAUUAGUAUGGUAGGCAGGUUUAAAUUCAAAAGAUAAUGGGUGCCAUAAAAUGUUAUGUUUUACUUACUUGAUCCCUAUUAUGUUCUCGAAUUCUUGUGAUUAAAAAAUUCAAAGGAGGUCUGGAUUGGAAAACAGUCCACUUAAAAACCAUUACUAUGUGCUGAAAUUUACAUAUAUGCAUACAAAUUGUAGGAAACAAAAACAGCACUGCUGAGUACUGUAUUAUAAAUAAAUAAAAAUUUAAUUGAGUACCUUCCACAAUACUUUAAAGUUCUGUGCUGUUGAUACUUCUGCCAGACAUACUUGCCUUUAGAUUAUUAACUGCAUCCAUGCCUGUAAAUAUAUUCUAUACAGAAGAUGCCAUUUUUAUAAUAUUUUUACUACUACAAAAUGUAGUUUCAGUCCUUAUAAGAAUUUUAUAUUUUUAAGCCAUUUCCUUAGUGGCAAAUUCCAUAAAAGUAAGCAAAUAGUUUACAGCUUGAAAGAAACAAAGUAUUUAGAAUCAGCGACCGAAAUCCUGAAUUCAGUUAAAUUCUGAAAUACUGUAUAGAGAUUAAAUGGAAUGUUAAGCCACAUUAGAAAGCAAACCAGGGGCUUUAAAAUUAUAUUAUUAUUAUUCAUUCCAAAUUAAUCUGAGUCAAUUCUACAAUUUUGAAGGAUUCAAAUAUACAUUAUGGUUCAUUUCGCUGCAAUCAAGUGCACAUUUACUUGAAAAUAAGUCAUAGUGAACCCAGUAGAAUUUAAUUUGAGUCAAUAUGCAUAGGUUUGUGCUGGCAGACUACUAUUAUUUUUAACAGUAAAGAAGAUGAACAUAGAAUUCCCUUUUUUUCAUAUUCCACCUGUAAAGCAAAUGAAUAAAGGACUAUGCUUCAAGAUA